UACGUACCGUACGAACGUUAUUCGGAAUUACUGGGCUUAAAGGGUGCGUAGGCUGUGCAGAAAGUUGGGUGUGAAAUCCCCUAGCUCAACUAGGGAACUGCGCCCAAAACUACUGUGCUUGAGGAAGACAGAGGUAAGCGGAACUUCGGGUGGAGCGGUGAAAUGCGUUGAUAUCCGAAGGAACACCGGUGGCGAAAGCGGCUUACUGGGUCUUUUCUGACGCUGAUGCACGAAAGCUAGGGUAGCGAACGGG
rnacentral:rRNA from 1 species